UGCUUGCUUCAGCAGCAAUAUGCUAAAAUGGUAACAAUACAGAGAAGAUUAGCAUGACCCCUACACACAGAUGACAUGCAAAUUCCUGAAGCAUUCCAUUAAGAA
ensembl:snRNA U6 U6 spliceosomal RNA